ACGCUCGACACCUAGGAGGCAGCAGUGGGGAAUAUUGCACAAUGGGGGAAACCCUGAUGCAGCAACGCCGCGUGAAGGAAGACGGUUUUCGGAUUGUAAACUUCUGUUCUUAGUGAAGAUAGUGACGGUAGCUAAGGAGCAAGCCACGGCUAACUACGUGCCAGCAGCCGACGGUAAUCUGAGCGGGCUGGCAAGGC
rnacentral:rRNA from 1 species